AUUGAACGCUGGCGGCAUGCUUUACACAUGCAAGUCGAACGGUAACAGGGUGCUUGCACCGCUGACGAGUGGCGAACGGGUGAGUACUGCGUCGGAACGUGCCGAGUAGUGGGGGAUAACGCAGCGAAAGUUGUGCUAAUACCGCAUACGUACUGAGGUAGAAAGUGGGGGACCUUCGGGCCUCACGCUAUUCGAGCGGCCGACGUCUGAUUAGCUAGUAGGUGGGGUAAAGGCUCACCUAGGCGACGAUCAGUAGCGGGUCUGAGAGGAUGAUCCGCCACACUGGGACUGAGACACGGCCCAGACUCCUACGGGAGGCAGCAGUGGGGAAUUUUGGACAAUGGGCGAAAGCCUGAUCCAACCAUGCCGCGUGUCUGAAGAAGGCCUUCGGGUUGUAAAGGACUUUUGUCAGGGAGGAAAUCCCUAGUGCUAAUAACACUGGGGGAUGACAGUACCUGAAGAAUAAGCACCGGCUAACUACGUGCCAGCAGCCGCCGCCG
rnacentral:rRNA from 1 species